GAUGAACGCUGGCGGCGUGGAUAAGGCAUGCAAGUCGAACGCAUUUAGUUGCGUGGCAGACGAGGUAGUAACACGUAGGAAUUCACCCUCAAGUCGGGCAUAACCCAGGGAAACUUGGAAUAAUCCCCGAUAGUCUCUUCGGAGUAAAGUUCCGGCGCUUGAGGAGAAGCCUGCGGAGUAUCAGCUUGUUGGUAAGGUAAUGGCUUACCAAGGCUAUGACGCUUAGGGGAGGUGAGAGCCUGGCCCCCACCGAUGGAACUGAGACACGGUCCAUACACCUACGGGUGGCCGCAGUCGAGAAUCUUCCGCAAUGGGCGAAAGCCUGACGGAGCGACGCCGCGUGAUCGAUGAAGCUCUUCGGAGUGUAAAGGUCUUUUAUGAAGGAGGAAGUUUAUUGACGUUACUUCAUGAAUAAGGGGUUGCUAAACUCG
rnacentral:rRNA from 1 species